rnacentral:miRNA from 1 species
UAGGGUGACCAACCAUUCCAGUUUGCCUGGGAUGGAGAAGUUUCCCAGGAAUAUGGGACUUUUUGUGACUUGGCAAACUGGACUGAGUUGAUCCCCCCAGAAAGGA